rnacentral:tRNA from 1 species
GAUUCGUGGUCUAGUGUAAGGACACUUGCCUCUCACUCUGGAGUCCCGGGUUCGAUCCCUGGUCGAGGAGCU